rnacentral:rRNA from 1 species
AUUGAACGCUGGCGGCAGGCCUAACACAUGCAAGUCGAGCGGGGUUUUCGGACCUAGCGGCGGACGGGUGAGUAAUGCGUAGGAAGCUGCCCGAUAGAGGGGAUACCAGUUGGAAACGACUGUUAAUACCGCAUAAUGUCUACGGACCAAAGUGUGGGACCUUCGGGCCACAUGCUAUCGGAUGCGCCUACGUGGGAUUAGCUAGUUGGUGAGGUAAUGGCUCACCAAGGCGACGAUCUCUAGCUGGUUUGAGAGGAUGAUCAGCCACACUGGAACUGAGACACGGUCCAGACUCCAACGGGAGGCAGCAGUGGGGAAUAUUGGACAAUGGGCGCAAGCCUGAUCCAGCCAUGCCGCGUGUGUGAAGAAGGCCUUCGGGUUGUAAAGCACUUUCAGUAGGGGGGAAGCGUUGUGUGUUAAUAGUACACAGCGUUGACGUUACCUACAGAAGAAGCACCGGCUAACUCUGUGCCAGCCGCCGCAGUAAGAC